rnacentral:lncRNA from 1 species
GAGGCUGUUUUUGGAUGAUGCUGUAUACUUUCAAAGUGCCCCUCAAUUAUUUUCAGAAAGACACCUAUUUUGUAUGUUGAUUAUUAUUUGCUAUAUUUUUUCAAAAUGCUCUAAAUAUUCAUAUACAACUCUUAUUUUUUUAUCAUGGUUACAUUUGAAGAUAUUUCAGUAUUUCCAGCUUCGGACAAUCCAGAUCAAAGAUGCAUUAGAAGAUAGUUAUUGCAAAGGUAUAGCAAAUGUCUGACCCAAACAAUAAAAUAUGUGACCAAUACAUUUGAAAUCUCUAUACACCAAAUGUUGGGACAUGAGCCCCCCGGAGGGCGAAGGCAGUGAUGGAGCUCAAACCCGGGCACGACCAGCUCGGACCUCUGGUAGGACUGUUGA